rnacentral:tRNA from 1 species
GCGCGUGUGGUGGAAUGGCAGACACGCUAGACUUAGGAUCUAGUGCUUCGGCGUGGGGGUUCAAGUCCCUCCACGCGCACCA